CCAUGACGUAAACAAGGUUGACAGGAAUAAACCCAAAAGCAAUCGGUUCAGAUUGUUUAUAAAUUUCGUUUAUGCUAGUGAGCUCUGAUUAAAAAAAUGUUUGCGUGCAGUGAGUGAUUAUGUGCCUGCAUAUACUAAUCCAUUUGAUAAUCUGUGCCCAUCAUAUCUGAACAGUACAGUGGAAUCAUUUAACUGUGGGAUUUACUUAAUGCUGGAUUCAUCAGUAAGCCUUUGAUUAAUCGAUUUCACCGAGACCUGCUCAGGUAGUUACUGAUCAAAAUGCGGAUAUCCACCGAUAAGUCAUCGAUUCGACUCAAAGAAAUUGACAAAAAUUUGCCUGCAAGUCAUUCUAAAUUGGCAUAAUUCCUGUGGAGGUGUUGCCUGAAGAUCUUUACGGAGGGC